rnacentral:rRNA from 1 species
CUGGGCGUAAAGCGUGCGCAGGGUUUUGUAAGUUGAUGUGAAAUCCCCGGGCUCAACCUGGGAAUUGCAUUGGAGACUGCAAGGCUAGAAUCUGGCAGAGGGGGGUAGAAUUCCACGUGUAGCAGUGAAAUGCGUAGAUAUGUGGAGGAACACCGAUGGCGAAGGCAGCCCCCUGGGUCAAGAUUGACGCUCAUGCACGAAAGCGUGGGGAGCAAACAGGAUUAGAUACCCUGGUAGUCCACGCCCUAAGCGAUGUCUACUAGUUGUCGGGUCUUAAUUGACUUGGUAACGCAGCUACGCGUGAAGUAGACCGCCUGGGGAGUACGGUCGCAAGAUUAAAACUCAAAGGAAUUGACGGGGACCCGCACAAGCGGUGGAUGAUGUGGAUUAAUUCGAUGCAACGCGAAAAACCUUACCUACCCUUGACAUGGCUGGAAUCCCCGAGAGAUCGGGGAGUGCUCGAAAGAGAACCA